rnacentral:rRNA from 1 species
UACGUAGGGUGCAAGCGUUGUCCGGAAUUAUUGGGCGUAAAGAGCUCGUAGGCGGUCUGUCACGUCGGCUGUGAAAACCUGGGGCUCAACUCCGGGCCUGCAGCCGAUACGGGCAGACUAGAGUUCGGCAGGGGAGACUGGAAUUCCUGGUGUAGCGGUGAAAUGCGCAGAUAUCAGGCGGAACACCGGUGGCGAAGGCGGGUCUCUGGGCCGAAACUGACGCUGAGGAGCGAAAGCGUGGGGAGCAAACAGG